rnacentral:tRNA from 1 species
AAUAAAGAAGUAAAAUUAUUACACUUAGUUUCGACCUAAGUUUAGGAUAUAAUAUUUAUCCCAUUAUUA